UACGUAGGGGGCAAGCGUUGUCCGGAAUCACUGGGCGUAAAGCGCACGUAGGCGGACUCUUAAGUCGGGGGUGAAAUCCUGGAGCUCAACUCCAGAACUGCCUUCGAUACUGGGAGUCUUGAGUUCGGGAGAGGUGAGUGGAACUGCGAGUGUAGAGGUGAAAUUCGUAGAUAUUCGCAAGAACACCAGUGGCGAAGGCGGCUCACUGGCCCGAUACUGACGCUGAGGUGCGAAAGCGUGGGGAGCAAACAGG
rnacentral:rRNA from 1 species